CCCUUAGAUGUUCUGGGCCGCACGCGCGCUACACUGACGAAUGCAACGAGCUUAUAACCUUGGCCGAAAGGUCUGGGUAAUCUCCAAAUUUCGUCGUGAUGGGGAUAGAUUAUUGCAAUUAUUAAUCUUCAACGAGGAAUGCCUAGUAAGCGCAAGUCAUCAGCUUGCGUUGAUUACGUCCCUGCCCUUUGUACACACCGCCCGUCGCUCCUACCGAUUGAAUGGUCCGGUGAAGCGUUCGGACCGUGGCCUUUGGACGGUUCGCCGCCUGUUGGCUGCGGGAAGUUCGUUAAACCUUAUCAUUUAGAGGAAGGAGAANUCGUANCA
rnacentral:rRNA from 1 species